CCUACGGGAGGCAGCAGUAGGGAAUCUUCCGCAAUGGACGAAAGUCUGACGGAGCGACGCCGCGUGAGUGAUGAAGGUCUUCGGAUCGUAAAACUCUGUUGUUAGGGAAGAAUAAGUAUCGGAGUAAUAUGCCGGUACCUUGACGGUACCUAACCAGAAAGCCCCGGCUAACUACGUGCCAGCAGCCGCGGUAAUACGUAGGGGGCAAGCGUUGUCCGGAAUUAUUGGGCGUAAAGGGCACGCAGGCGGUUGUCUAAGUCUGAUGUGAAAUCUUGCAGCUUAACUGCAAGCGGCCAUUGGAAACUGGAUAACUUGAGUGCAGAAGAGGAGAGUGGAAUUCCACGUGUAGCGGUGAAAUGCGUAGAGAUGUGGAGGAACACCAGUGGCGAAGGCGGCUCUCUGGUCUGUAACUGACGCUGAGGUGCGAAAGCGUGGGUAGCGAACAGGAUUAGAUACCCUGGUAGUCCACGCCGUAAACGAUGAGUGCUAGGUGUUAGGGGGUUUCCGCCCCUUAGUGCUGGAGUUAACGCAUUAAGCACUCCGCCUGGGGAGUACGGCCGCAAGGCUGAAACUCAAAAGAAUUGACGGGGGCCCGCACAAGCGGUGGAGCAUGUGGUUUAAUUCGAAGCUACGCGAAAAACCUUACCAGGUCUUGACAUCCCGUUGCCCGCUCUAGAGAUAGAGUUUUCCCUUCGGGGACAACGGUGACAGGUGGUGCAUGGCUGUCGUCAGCUCGUGUCGUGAGAUGUUGGGUUAAGUCCCGUAACGAGCGCAACCCUUGACAUUAGUUGCCAGCAUUCAGUUGGGCACUCUAAUGUGACUGCCGGUGACAAACCGGA
rnacentral:rRNA from 1 species